CAGAGGCGUCUUCUCCAAUGGAGGCCGAGCACGUCUCCUCCUGCUCAUGAUCCCCUGCUCCUUAGAACCUGACCCAGGGCCCUUGUUGUGGAACUGAGCUUGGACUAACGAGGGAGCUGAGAGGCAGCUGCUGGCCAGCCAGCCAGGGCCCAAGCUGUCAGAAGAGAAGGAGAAAGCCUCAUUAGCAGAACAUGUCACUAUCGGAGCUGACUGCUUUCCAGGCCUGAGCUGGGGGAUGUCUAAGUUUGGAGAUGCAGAGCACAGUGCACCAUGGGAGCGGUCCCAGAAACAAGGGGUGCUGGUCCACCCCACUCCCCAGUCUCGCACCUGCCUCUGUCUUGUAUGUGCCUGCCACUGCAGCCUCCUGUCUGGAAUGCCUCCUCUGAUUCCUGUGGGCAGAGCCACGCAUCAGGCCCCGCUAGAUGGCCACCUCGGUUUAGAUGCUGUUCCGAUGCUGCCAGCAGGGGGUGAGCGUGUGCUGUGCUGGGCACGUCCUGCCUCUGCCCCUGGAACAGGGGACUGUCCUCUAGUUGGGUCCCCGUCUUCUCUUCCCAGCUGGGCCGUGCUCUUCCAGUGGGAUCUAUGCCUGAUUCACCUCGGGUAGCGCGAUGGAGUCUGGCCAGGUGCCCGGCAUGUGGGCUUCACAGAGGGCCCUGCUCUCCGUGGGUGAAGGAAAAUCUUCUCUGCCCGCUCAGAUGCUGGGACCGUCCCAGGGCCGUCUCGUGAGCAGGUGGAAAGACUCUGCAUGCAGUGUCACCGGCCUUGCAAGCAGCAGCCAGCGGCCUCCUGGACAUCCUCAGGCUUCUGAGGAGCCCCUGCGGAAGCUCCCUGACACACGACCCUCCCUCUGGACCCCAAGAUGUCUGGCUUCCUGUGGAGCUCCCUUAGACAUGGAGCUGGGUGAGCAGCCCAGACCUCGGUCAGCACUCCCAGGGGGAUCGCUCUGCGCCACUGUCAUAAAAGGGAGAUGUCGUCCCAGUGGACAGGCCCAACUCCUGCAUUACAGUCAGAAAACUCAGCAUCACGUGGAAAUGACCCGAGGCUGCUUUGAGGGCCCAAACCCGUGCCGCAGUCCAGGCUCUGAGGUUUCACCUCAGUGGGGCUGAAAUGCAGACCUGCAGUGAGGGUGGCCUCUCCUUGUGAGCCCUGGCGCCUCCAGGUCAUCCUCUAGGUUCACUGAGCAUUUGGACACGAUGCUUCUUAGGCCACGGAGGUGCCAGCUCCCUUCUGAAUUGAAUCCAUGCAGAGUGCCACUCUGGUUGGCACAGCUCUGUGGGGCACUGGACUGAGGCCUCUCGCCCACACGUCACCGCCCAUCCAUGUGUCCUCCUUGCACGGCCCCCACUCACAGCGGUAGGCACCACCCUGGGCCAAACCCCCACACUGCUGGCUGGCUCCGGAUUCCGCGUCUCACCUCCACGUAAAAUGCAGGGGGGCAGCUCCACCUCUCGCUCUGGGAUGGGACCUGCCGGGACCUUACACGGGCUGUACCCUGUUCCGCUUGCCAGGCCGGGUCCUGCUGGGCAGGCAGCAGCACAGGCCUCGGAGCACCUUGAGCAGCCUCUCUGGCGUUGCCUCUCUGGCCCUGGCUGCUGCCCCCAAGGGGGAGGCCGGGGUCGCCCCACUGGGGCGCCCAGGCUACUGGAAGUCUCUGUGGCAGCUUCCCUCCAGGGCCCCAUGGCUGGGGCUGGCACUGUGGGAGGAGAGGACGGCCUUGGGGACCCGCUAGGGGGUCAGGCUGGGGGUAGUGGUGCCUGACUCCAGGCGGGGCAGGGUGCCAGGAGGCUCUGUGGCCUUCAGCACUGACUCCUGUUUCUCCUCGGGCCGCUGACGGCCAGCUUCAUGGAGCCAGGUGGGCAGAAUGGGCUCACUGCCACCAUGUCGUCCGGAGCGUGCCGAGGCCCUCAGCUGCACCAUGUAGGGUGGCAAAGCACCACAGCGGCUGCCCUCGGCAGAUGGGAGGGACCUCCCGGUGCUGGCGUGGCCAUCCCCCUGGGGCUUCUGGGACCUCAGGAUCAGGAACAGGGCCCUGGUAUUGUCAUACCUUCGUGUUCUGAGGGACUCCAGGAUUUGCUUCCACUGAAAACCCAUCUUCAUCAUUGCUUCUGUCACCCAGGAUUCCCUUGUGUCACAAGGCAGCUCCUAUACGGGCUCAGUUUCGGCCAGCCCUGAUUGACCCAUGGGUCUCCCAUGACCUCUUCUAAGGUCUUCCUCUUCCUGGGGUCAAGGGUCAGCAGGCCUCUCAUAAUUGGAUGCAUUCCAACAAAAGGAGCAUGGGGAGCGAGUAGGCCCCUCUGAGCAUGCUCUGCCGCACGUCACUGAAGUCCUCUCCCCAGAACGGCGGGGACCCGGUGAGCAUGACAUGGAGCAGCACGCCGAGGCUCCAGCCGUCAGCUGGGGGGCCGUCUUAGGGCUGCAGCCGCAGGACCUCCGGGGCCGUGUAGCCGGGGGUGCCACAGUAGGUGCUCAGUGGCCGGCCAGGGACCAUGCUGCUGAGGCCGAAGUCGGCCAGCUUCGCGUUCCCCUCCGGGUCCAGGAGCACCUUCUCCAUCUCCAGCUUCAGGUCCUGGUGCAUGAUGCCCUUGCGGUGGCAGUACUGGAGAGCUGAGACGAGCUGCCGGGACCGGCCGCAGGCCUCCUCCUCGGUCAGGGGGCCGUGCUGCAACCGAGGGUCGAGGGUGUCCCCUCUGCUGAUGUAUUCUGUGAUGAUGAACAGCGUCUCCUCCGUGUCGAUCACCUCUAGCAGCUUUACAAUGUGGGAUGGUGCAAUGUCUUCAAACUCUGCAUUUCACCGAGGAGUCUCUUGGCUCUGGAGGAGCUCUGCUCCUGCUUCGGGGUGAUUUUCACGGCAACCUCUGUCCUGGCCGGGAUGUGCAGGGCCAGCUUCACCUGUGAAGGAGCCCUCCCCAAUGGUCCUGAGGAGCUCGUAAUCGUGAAGACAGGUCUGCCUGCCAGAGAGGUGGCAGCGAGGCCUGGAAGCAUGGUGACCUCAUAACUACACUUACUGACAAUACCAACCAAUGAUGCUAACUAUGCUUACUAACUACGCCAACAAACAAAACGUUAGUCUGCUAACUAAUAGUGACUAAUGAUAGUAACAAGGCCACCGAUGCUUGCUAACUUACUAACUAUGCUAAUAAGUAACACUAACUAUACCAAAGAUGCUAACUCUACUAACUACACCAACAAUACUAACUAUACUAACUAUGCUAACUCUACUAACUACACCAACAAUACUAACUAUACUAACUGUAAUAACAAUACUAACUAAAAAAAAUUGUUUUAAAAUGUGAAAAAGAACAAAAAAAAGCAAGGAAAAAUAAAAAAUGAGAAAAGAACAGGUUUUCAUAAAUUCCAUCACAGCGGCUCCUUAUGAGGUGAGAGCAGGAAAUGCACAGGCGUGGCUGGGGAUGAACUAUAGUGGUUGGCUCACUUUUUGGUCUCAAGAUCCCUUUACUCUGAAACAAAGGGACCCCAAAGAGAUUUUUUUUAUUUGGGAUAUUAGUGAUAUUUACUUUAUUAGAAAUUAAAAUCUGUAAGAUGCUUCAGUGGACUUUUCAUUUCUAAUUUAAAAAUCUCUCGUAACUUUUGGCUGUUAAAGAUUGCAAAAUAUCUACACUUAAAAUAUUCAACUCCUUUUCUUUAAACUCUGAUUAGUCUCAAAAUGAUCCUACCACUGAAGUGCUGUUAUAAUCCUAUAGGAAAAUGUUCUGUUGCAUGAGACCUGAAAAGGGACAUCAUUAAUGUUCAUAAAGCUGAGAGGAAGAGAGCUUUCCUCAUAUUUUCCCAGUAAGAUCAGGAG
ensembl:lncRNA